rfam:Amborella trichopoda AMTR_V1.0_contig_16447, whole genome shotgun sequence.
AUGAAUGAUGAGAUGCACUGGGCUCUGAGCAAUUUUCGCUUGCGAAUUGAUGGAAAUGCAUUUGCCUAGAAAGCAUUGUCUGACCA